rnacentral:tRNA from 1 species
GCCUGGGUGGCUCAAUCAGUUAAGCGUCUGACUUUAGCUCAGGUCGUGAUCUCAUGGCUCGUGGGUUCAAGCCCUGCGUCAGGCU